rnacentral:ncRNA from 13 species
AUAGAUAUAAGUUAAUUGGUAAACUGGAUGUCUUCCAAACAUUGAAUGCGAGUUCGAUUCUCGCUAUCUAUA